rnacentral:misc_RNA from 1 species
CAGAGAACUCGCCCCCCGGGGUAGUCUCCCACCCUAUGUUUACACACGCUGUUGCUUUGGCAGGCCUGCUCUCGGGCUACCGGCCCCGGCUGGUCCGCGCCUGCCAGAGGGUCCUAAACUCGUAUUUUGUGUCGUCUGAGCGUAACGCAAUAGUUA